AGGUGGCGAGCGUUGUCCGGAUUUACUGGGUGUAAAGGGCGCGUAGGCGGGUUAGCAAGUCAGUCGUGAAAUACCGAGGCUCAACUUCGGGGCUGCGAUUGAAACUGAUAAUCUUGAGUGUCGGAGAGGAAAGCGGAAUUCCUAGUGUAGCGGUGAAAUGCGUAGAUAUUAGGAGGAACACCAGUGGCGAAGGCGGCUUUCUGGACGAUAACUGACGCUGGGGCGCGAAAGUGUGGGGAGCA
rnacentral:rRNA from 1 species